AGAAGAAUGCUGUAAAGUUCAAUAUAUUGCUACUAUAGUUUUAAGACGGUUUAAAACAUACCUCUGAAUGCAAGCCUGGGUAUUAAACAGAGUUGCUAAGGUAAAUCUGAGUAACUCAGCUUAUGGAUGGAGAGACAGAAGAGCAUAAGAAAAACACAUUCAUAUGUGGAUCACAUUGUAUACUGUAUUGUGAAUGUGUUUCUUCUUUACACAUCCCUAGUCAGCCAGGCAAGUAUUUCCCUGUCUAUCCUACAGUCUCCUCCUAUCAGAGCCGAAGGUUUCUUUUAUCCUCAUAGCCAGGACAUUUCCCUUAAGAUGGCUAAAUAUUUCAGAACUGUUUUGACUCGACUUGGGGUAAUCCAUCAAUCCUGAAAACGUGAAAGCUGAAUUGGAAAGAAUGAAAAUACAGGCUCAGAUUGCAACGGUAUUCAUAACUACUGCAAUGAAAAUAUCCUUCUGCCUGGUGUUGAUGGUUGCAGUGCUGG